GCCUGGGUGGCUCAGUGGGUUAAGCGACUGACUUCCACUCAGGUCAUGAUCUUGAGGUUCACAGGUUGGAACCCUGAAUCAGGCU
rnacentral:tRNA from 1 species